ACGGGAGGCAGCAGUGAGGAAUAUUGGUCAAUGGACGGAAGUCUGAACCAGCCAAGUCGCGUGAAGGAAGACGGUUCUAUGGAUUGUAAACUUCUUUUGCUCGAGGGUAAAGUGAGCCACGUGUGGCUUAUUGCAAGUAUCGAGUGAAUAAGCAUCGGCUAACUCCGUGCCAGCAGCCGCGGUAAUACGGAGGAUGCGAGCGUUAUCCGGAUUUAUUGGGUUUAAAGGGUGCGUAGGCGGGCUGUUAAGUCAGCGGUGAAACCCCCGGGCUCAACCUGGGGACUGCCAUUGAAACUGGCGGCCUUGAGUACGUUGGGAGUGCGCGGAAUGUGUGGUGUAGCGGUGAAAUGCAUAGAUAUCACACAGAACACCGAUCGCGUAGGCAGCGCACUACGCCGCAACUGACGCUGAGGCACGAAGGCGCGGGGAUCGAACAGGAUUAGAUACCCUGGUA
rnacentral:rRNA from 1 species